AGUGUUGCACUAAAUAUGGCGUCGCUGGGGCGGUGCACCGUUCGUUCUCCGCUCCAAGCGUCGGCAUCCUUCGAGCCCACGCAUCGGACGCAUGUUCAGCACACUUGGCUACUGCGCCGGAUGAAUUCGUUUUCAAUCUCCUUUGCGUUCAGAUUUAUGUUCUUUCGACUAAGCUGAUGGGUCGCGGCCACUUCUUUGCAGAGCCAAUGGAGGAACAAGUGACUGCACUCUCGCCGCUGCACAGCAACCAAGUUGCUGAAGUCACGGCCGAGACAAGGACCGCCAAGCGCAAGUCAGGUGAAGCCUCUAACGCAUCCCCCGGCAUCAAGUGGUACAAGCAGAAGUUUAGAGACUCCUGGCUGCAGGACGAGCGCUUCAAAAACUGGCUGGUUAGCGUGCCGCACGAUCCGUACCGUGCCAGGUGCAAACUGUGCAACGCCGAUCUUAGAGCGGGCAAGAGCGAACUGGAGAAGCACGCGCGCACCAAGCACCACCGUGAUACUGUCAAGGCGGUUGAGGACGUGAAGGCCUUGCUGGGCUUCGCCAACCAAGCCGAAGCGCAGACGCUGCCAGAGAUAGUGAACGACAUGCAGUCAGCUGAUCAGUCUAACAAUUCGUUCCAGGUGCAGGAGGAAGAACUGUCGCGGCCCGUGACCGCGCUCGUGCCACGGAGGAGGAGAAUGUCAACCCCACCACCUACAGAGGCUCCAGCGCCAGCUGUCCGGUGUCACCUGCCGCCUUUGGGCAUCUUGCCCCAAGUUCAGUGUCGCGCACCUGAUUUCAAAGGGAUAGCUGUGGUGGACAGCCAGAUCCGGGAAAUUCAACUGAGUGACUAUGAAGGGAAAUUCCUGUUGCUGUUCUUCUACCCUCAGGCCUUCUCUCUCGCUUGUCCCAGUGAGCUUGUUGAAUACAGUGAUCGUGCAGCUGAGUUUCGGAGCCUUAACACAGAAAUCUUGGCAAUAUCCACCGACUCCUACUGCACACACCUUGCCUGGACUAACACCCCUAGAAAGCUUGGUGGGCUUGGCAAGGUCAAUGUCCCCUUGAUGUCAGACUUCACGAAGAAGAUCUCAAAGGACUACAAUGUACUGCUUGAAGAUACUGGAACUGCAUUGAGCCACGAGGGUGAUCUCCGGCAACUUCUCAAAUAAAGAAGGUCCUGUGAUAAUGGGAACUGGAUGCUGGCCUGCAGAAUGAGAAAUGGAUGUCCAACCAACUUGGCCAUGGGAGGUUGCCAAUAACUGCUGUGAAAAAACUUUUGAGAACCUUCCUGGAAGCAUCGCUUAAUGUCUGGCAAACUAGAAUGGUGAUGUUCCUUCCUCAAGUGUGUCUCUCACGCUUAAAAAUUUCACGGCCUUGUGAGCCUGCCAGGAAGGCUGUUUAUUUCAAGUGCUGUUGAAGGGCAUCUUUUAUCAUUGACACCAAGGGCAUGAUUCGUCAGGUUACAAUCAAUGAUGUGAACUUGUACAGAUCAGUGGACGAGUCGCUUCGAUUAUUGAAGGCGCUGCAGUAUGUUGAAAAGCAUGGUGCAG
rnacentral:misc_RNA from 1 species